rnacentral:rRNA from 1 species
GACGAACGCUGGCGGCGUGCCUAAUACAUGCAAGUUGAGCGCUGAAGGUUGGUACUUGUACCGACUGGAUGAGCAGCGAACGGGUGAGUAACGCGUGGGGAAUCUGCCUUUGAGCGGGGGACAACAUUUGGAAACGACUGCUAAUACCGCAUAAAAACUUUAAACACAAGUUUUAAGUUUGAAAGAUGCAAUUGCCUCACUCAAAGAUGAUCCCGCGUUGUAUUAGCUAGUUGGUGAGGUAAAGGCUCACCAAGGCGAUGAUACAUAGCCGACCUGAGAGGGUGAUCGGCCACAGUGGGACUGAGACACGGCCCAAACGCCUACGGGAGGCAGCAGUAGGGAAUCGUCGGAAAUGGACGAAAGUCUGACCGAGCAACGCCGCGUGAGGGAAGAAGGUUUUCGGAUCGUAAAACUCUGUUGGUAGAGAAGAACGUUGGUGAGAGUGGAAAGCUCAUCAAGUGACGGUAACUACCCAGAAAGGGACGGCUAACUACGUG